CAGCAGGCGCGAAACCUUUACCAUGCACGAAAGUGUGAUAAGGUUACCCGGAGUGCUAGAAGCACAACUUUUAGCUGUUAUAGUGUGUAGAUAACACUAUGAGAAAGGAGAGGGCAAGGCUGGUGCCAGCCUCCGCGGUAAAACCAGCUCUUCAAGUGGUCGGGACAAUUAUUGGGCUUAAAGUGUCCGUAGCCGGUUUGGUAAGUCCCUGGUAAAACCUGGUAGCUUAACUAUCAGUUCGCUAGGGAAACUAUCUAGCUAGAGGGCGGGAAAGGUCUGAGGUACUCCAGGGGUAGCGGUGAAAUGCGAUAAUCCUUGGGGGACCACCAGUGGCGAAAGCGUCAGACUGGAACGCGCCUGACGGUGAGGGACGAAAGCCAGGGGAGCGAACGGGAUUAGAUACCCCGGUAGUCCUGGCUGUAAACGAUGCAUGUUAGGUGUCGGUAGGGCUAUGAGCUGUAUCGGUGCCGUAGGGAAACCGUUAAACAUGCCGCCUGGGAAUUACGCUCGCAAGAGUGAAACUUAAAGGAAUUGGCGGGGGAGCAC
rnacentral:rRNA from 1 species